UUUAAUGAGAGUUUGAUCCUGGCUCAGGACGAACGCUGGCGGCGUGCCUAAUACAUGCAAGUAGAACGCUGAAGAGAGGAGCUUGCUCUUCUUGGAUGAGUUGCGAACGGGUGAGUAACGCGUAGGUAACCUGCCUUGUAGCGGGGGAUAACUAUUGGAAACGAUAGCUAAUACCGCAUAACAAUGGAUGACACAUGUCAUUUAUUUGAAAGGGGCAAUUGCUCCACUACAAGAUGGACCUGCGUUGUAUUAGCUAGUAGGUGAGGUAACGGCUCACCUAGGCGACGAUACAUAGCCGACCUGAGAGGGUGAUCGGCCACACUGGGACUGAGACACGGCCCAGACUCCUACGGGAGGCAGCAGUAGGGAAUCUUCGGCAAUGGGGGCAACCCUGACCGAGCAACGCCGCGUGAGUGAAGAAGGUUUUCGGAUCGUAAAGCUCUGUUGUAAGUCAAGAACGAGUGUGAGAGUGGAAAGUUCACACUGUGACGGUAGCUUACCAGAAAGGGACGGCUAACUACGUGCCAGCAGCCGCGGUAAUACGUAGGUCCCGAGCGUUGUCCGGAUUUAUUGGGCGUAAAGCGAGCGCAGGCGGUUUGAUAAGUCUGAAGUUAAAGGCUGUGGCUCAACCAUAGUUCGCUUUGGAAACUGUCAAACUUGAGUGCAGAAGGGGAGAGUGGAAUUCCAUGUGUAGCGGUGAAAUGCGUAGAUAUAUGGAGGAACACCGGUGGCGAAAGCGGCUCUCUGGUCUGUAACUGACGCUGAGGCUCGAAAGCGUGGGGAGCGAACAGGAUUAGAUACCCUGGUAGUCCACGCCGUAAACGAUGAGUGCUAGGUGUUGGAUCCUUUCCGGGAUUCAGUGCCGCAGCUAACGCAUUAAGCACUCCGCCUGGGGAGUACGACCGCAAGGUUGAAACUCAAAGGAAUUGACGGGGGCCCGCACAAGCGGUGGAGCAUGUGGUU
rnacentral:rRNA from 1 species